AAUAUGUAGCAAAAUAAUCAGUCUCCUCCAGUUUCCAUAGCCCAUUCAGUGUUAAUAUGAAGGAACAGUCCUAUUAGCUUGUUAGAUCAGCAGUGUCUUAUCUCCUACACUUGCCCUAUCCCGCUUUACAUAAGAAGGAAUCAGUGCUGGAUCCUUUGCGGUGGCUGAAUGUCAUCACUGGCAAGAAUAAGGGGGAUUGACAGCAGGCAAACAUUCAGGCAGGCUGGUACGUUGCAUGUAGAUCACGGACUUUUCCUCCCCUCUGCACUGUUCUGGAAAGAGCGUUAAGAAUAGCAACUUGGAGAAGCUGUUCAUAUUCUUCUAGUCAGAGUUACCGGAAGCCGCUAAAGGUAAAUCUGUCAGCAAGUUCUGAGCAGCUGGGUAAGGAAAGCCAACACAAUUGCUUCGAAAGGGCUUUGCAUCCACACCUAAAAGGAAGGAGCAGAGUAUUGGCUCAGAUACACAGUUUCCUGCUGCUGCACGAUUUUACCUAAGUUUAACUCCUCAUGUUGAGCAAAUGGAGGCAUGUGUUAAGUGACUUGACCCAAAUCACACAGCUACCAACCACCCGAGGCUGGAUUGGAAUUCAGGACUUCCUAACUCCAGGAGAGUAUGACGCCACAUCCCACUACCUUUCAGAGUAUGCUCUGACAGCAGGAUUCUGUUCUACUUUCUCAGCCCUCCAAGUAAAGGACAGAAAACCACAAUAUAGUAAGAGAGAGAAUUUAUAUUUUAUUUAAAGCAGUGCCUAUAACUUUAAUUUUCAAGCAUAUGAUUUUCUUA